AAGGAAACCAGAAAGCCCAAUUUAUAAAACUAUGAAACAAAGCAACUGUAAAGGCAACACUAGACACAGAAGAGUUGGAUGGAUGAGUCAUUUUCCCCAGACUGACGGCAUCAUGAAGGCCUGAAGGUGUCACCAACUCCUCUCCUGCAACAUCAGCUGAACAGAUACAGUCCUCGCUUAGACCACCCUCAGAGAGCACGGGAUAACUGACUGACCAGCUGACUUUAAAGUCCAAGUUCUUUCCAUCAUCCCAACAUGCUCCUGCCAGACAGAAAAGGCUCACAGGCCGGGUCAGGGCUCCAGCUGUCAUAGAAGCAAGAGAACUCACCACCAGAAGGCAAUCACAAAGCCAGGAGACUUGUAAACGGCCCCCAAAUGCUCUCAGCACACUAUGGAAGGGCUUUAGAAAACCUAUCUUCAGUACAGCAGUGGAACACUAAGAGAACUUAGAAUUCAUUUUACAGCGAGCUAGAAUGCAAUUUACAGAAAACUAACUUUUGCUAAAAUGAAUCCAAGCCUUAAAAUAUACAUCACUGCAGGUACCCAUAAUUGAUGACAUCCUCAGAGGAGCUCAAAGUGAAAAAAAAAAGGACUUAAAUCUUCCCAAUUUGGAGGCACUAACAUCUACAUAAGGAUAGGUGUAGCUCAUGAGUCCUAAAUAUUGACCAAAGAUAUGUGACCUAAAAUAGCACAUUCUAUUCUGAACACUUCAAUUCUGUAAGUGAAGUGUCAUUAUGAUUCUUAAACUUCUUUUUCUUUGAAAUCAUCUAUUUCCAUCAAUUCGUAGCUCUAAUAAAUCAUGAGGAUGGUUUAACAUGUGCUCUGAGCUUUUGUAGAAAAUUUUAAUUUGACAUUUUAAAGUGUAAGCUAAAUUACUUGUAUCAACUGUUUUUUUACUCCAAUU